rnacentral:rRNA from 1 species
GACGAACCGUGCGAACGUUAUUCGGAAUCACUGGGCGUAAAGGGUGCGUAGGCGGUCGGGUAAGUCUGAUGUGAAAUCUCCAAGCUCAACUUGGAAAUGGCAUCGGAUACUAUUCGGCUGGAGGAAUGGAGGGGAGACUGGAAUACUUGGUGUAGCAGUGAAAUGCGUAGAUAUCAAGUGGAACACCAGUGGCGAAGGCGAGUCUCUGGACAUUUCCUGACGCUGAGGCACGAAAGCCAGGGGAGCAAACGGG